CACGUAGGGGGCGAGCGUUGUCCGGAUUUAUUGGGCGUAAAGAGCUCGUAAGCGGUUUGGCAAGUCGGGUGUGAAAUUUCGAGGCUCAACCUCGAAACGCCACUCGAUACUGCCAUGACUGGAGUCCGGUAGAGGAGUGCGGAAUUCCUGGUGUAGCGGUGAAAUGCGCAGAUAUCAGGAGGAACACCAACGGCGAAGGCAGCACUCUGGGCCGGUACUGACGCUGAGGAGCGAAAGCGUGGGGAGCAAACAGG
rnacentral:rRNA from 1 species